GCCAUAUGAUUUAGGUUUAUUUGCUACUCUUGAUGAAUCAUGAUGACAGAAAUGUAUGAUGGC
rnacentral:misc_RNA from 1 species